UACAGAGGUCCCAAGCGUUGUUCGGAUUCAUUGGGCGUAAAGGGUGCGUAGGCGGCGCGGUAAGUCGGGUGUGAAAUCUCGGAGCUUAACUCCGAAACUGCAUUCGAUACUGCCGUGCUUGAGGACUGGAGAGGAGACUGGAAUUUACGGUGUAGCGGUGAAAUGCGUAGAUAUCAAGAGGAGCACCUGCGGCGAAGGCGGGUUGCUGGGCCGACACUGACGCUGAAGCGCGAAAGCCAGGGGAGCGAACGGG
rnacentral:rRNA from 1 species